CCUACGGGGGGCAGCAGUGAGGAAUAUUGGUCAAUGGACGAGAGUCUGAACCAGCCAAGUAGCGUGAAGGAUGACUGCCCUAUGGGUUGUAAACUUCGUUUAUAAAGGAAUAAAACGAGGCACGUGUGCCUUUUUGCAUGUACUUUAUGAAUAAGGAUCGGCUAACUCCGUGCCAGCAGCCGCGGUAAUACGGAGGAUCCGAGCGUUAUCCGGAUUUGUUGGGUUUAAAGGGAGCGUAGAUGGGUUGUUAAGUCAGUUGUGAAAGUGUGCGGCUCAACCGUAAAAUUGCAAUUGAUACUGGCAGUCUUGAGUACAGUUGAGGUAGGCGGAAUUCGUGGUGUAGCGGUGAAAUGCUUAGAUAUCACGAAGAACCCCGAUUGCGAAGGCAGCUUACUAAACUGUGACUGACAUUGAUGCUCGAAAGUGUGGGUAUCAAACAGGAUUAGAUACCCGUGUAGUC
rnacentral:rRNA from 1 species